rnacentral:rRNA from 1 species
GACGAACGCUGGCGGCGUGCUUAACACAUGCAAGUCUAACGGAAAGGCCCUGCUUUUGUGGGGUGCUCGAGUGGCGAACGGGUGAGUAACACGUGAGUAACCUGCCCUUGACUUUGGGAUAACUUCAGGAAACUGGGGCUAAUACCGGAUAGUAGCUCCUGCUGCAUGGUGGGGGUUGGAAAGUUUCGGCGGUUGGGGAUGGACUCGCGGCUUAUCAGCUUGUUGGUGGGGUAGUGGCUUACCAAGGCUUUGACGGGUAGCCGGCCUGAGAGGGUGACCGGCCACAUUGGGACUGAGAUACGGCCCAGACUCCUAAGGGAGGCAGCAGUGGGGAAUAUUGCACAAUGGGCGGAAGCCUGAUGCAGCAACGCCGCGUGCGGGAUGACGGCCUUCGGGUUGUAAACCGCUUUCGCCUGUGACGAAGCGUGAGUGACGGUAAUGGGUGAAGAAGCACCGGCUAACUACGUG